CACUGUGCUACAUCUGCUGAGCUGGGCUUUCCUAAAGGAAAAAGGACCAACUAUCUUAUAGGCACUAGGCACUGUUGCUUCAGAUUGGAUCAUGGUCUCUUAACUAAGGAUGUUCAGUGUAUGAAGGGACUGUCAAGGGUCAGGAUUCAGGUGUGUAUCCCCUGCUCCACAGAAACAUUGACUCCUUCCCCCCAAGAAGAAGAUGAUUAUAGUGGAAGUUUAGAGGAUAGCAAGAGUAAUCACUAGCUCAAUAAUGAAACAUUGGAACAACUCUGGGGAGAAUAUCUGGGAAAACAGAAACAACUGACAAGGAAGUGGCCUGAUAUGAAGUCAUGGGAUCUGACCAAUGCAAAACUGAUAGUGAAGCAGGAGGCAAUGUUGACACAGAGUCUGAUAAAUGGACUUCUCAUGUUGAUUUAAUAACUGCAUGAGGGGUGUAGGAGAGGGAAUCCCUGGGCAUGGUAACACUAGCACUGGUAACACUGAGCUGCUUCUCUUUGCCAGCUAUGAAGAUCAUUUUUUAGCAUUAAUUAGCAAGAUAAUCUUUUUUUUUCUUUUUACGUCCAAAGGGCCUUCCCAGUUUCAGCUGCAUCAUUGGCUCCUCAUAAACUCUUAACUCUGAGCAAUGAAGGCUUUUGGCCAAUACACUGACUGCUCUCUGGUGGGGAUGCUUCAGCUAAAUAGAGUAGAAAGACCUGCUGAUUUCAAGGCCAAGUGUAGAAAGCAGCUGGCUUUCAACUUGCUGUCCAAGAGAGCCAAGCAGAGCAGAGCUGAUGACUGCCCUGGCUGGUGGGAGUCUGAGCCAGACACCUGUCAAACACUACCUUGCCCAGCUUCCCUGCACCCUGCUCUGCAGCAUGCCUGCUCUGAGAAUGGCAGUCCACACCACAAACUUUCUCCCUCCACAGAAAGCCAGAUGCCAGAAUUCCCCCAAAUUCCUUCUCCAGCAAAUAUUUUGAUCCCUAAGCAAAUUUCUCUCUCUUUCUUUCAGGCAGAAGAAAAAAAAUGCCAGAAAGGGAAAAUGAUGACAUCUCCAUUUUCUUCUAAAUAAGUAUAAAUGACCAUCAAUUGAAAAAGAGAGACUCUUUCUCAGCUUCCAGCCCCACAAAGAGGUUUCCAACUUACUGAAGUCUUCAGCAACUUAUUGAUUUGGAACUUCAGUGUCCUUAGCUAUUCAAGGACUGUAAAGAUAAGUAUUAAGAUACUACUUCAGCAUUUGAGUGGGAUUAGUCAACUGGGGUGGUAAUCACAAACUGGCACUUUCAGGAAACACAUGGCUUAAUUCAGAAAUGCAUGCUUUUGUCUAAAGCAAAGACAUCCUGAACAUGUCUUGAUAUCAAAUAUCUGUAGUUAUUUUCAUAAGUACCUAGAAUUCAAAAGAAACUCAAGUCCACUAUGCCCAGGAUGGUAGGGAAGAGGGAGGAGGAAUCAAUAUACCUGGAAAACUGAAUUCACAUAGUUUAGAUUCCUUUCCUUAUAAAAUGGUUUGUGUGAGCUACACUCACAGAUCUGAUGACCACAGACACUCAACAGGCCUUUUGGAUUUUAUAGGCUCCCUUAAUAUUUACCCCAUCAGAAGCUGGAUGUUGACAAGAUUAACUCUUAACACCAUACAGCUCAACUUUAAGUAAAAUGUUCAGUUUCACAGGGUUAGGAAUGAAUUUUGGCUAUGGAUGUUUUCGCACGUGUCUGGCUCAUAUAGAAGCCAAACAAGCAGCACUCUCAACUGAAUUGGGUAUCUUGGUGUUUAAGUUUUGUAUGGGGUCCAUGUCUAACUGACCAUGUAAAUAAGGGCAAGUUGUGGGCCUGUUAGCCCCCUGGAAAUGGACUGGAUUUGGCCAGUUCAAUACUAAGCUUCUUCCCAUAGAAAAUCCUAAAUUAUUCUUAUUCAAGUAGAAAGAUUAUUAUUUAGCCAUUUAAAAUUAACCACUAUAUUGUAUACCUCUUAUGUAAAAGGGAGCAAGAAAAUGAAUAGCAGAGUGUUGGGUGUUGGGAUGACUGGUUGUCCACUAGGGUGCCUCACAUAGUGCAAGUCUAUUAUUACACGAUUUCUGCUUCCUGUGCAUCCUUCCACUCUUUUUGCAGAUUUUAAACUAAAAUCAAGAAUGAAGGAGCUCAAUUUUUCAAUAAACAUGGUUUGGAGUAACA
ensembl:lncRNA